rnacentral:SRP_RNA from 1 species
GCUGGGCGUGGUGGCGGGCGCCUGUAAUCCCAGCUACUCAGGAGGCUGAGGCAGGAGAAUCACUUGAACCCAGGAGGUGGAGAUUGCAGUGGGCAGAGAUUGUGCCAUUGCACUCUAGCCUAGGUGACAGAGCGAGACUCUGUCUCAA